rnacentral:piRNA from 1 species
UCCAGAUGUAUGGUCCCUCGUAGUCUGAA